rnacentral:rRNA from 1 species
AUGAUUAAUAGGGACAGUCGGGGGCAUCAGUAUUCAAUUGUCAGAGGUGAAAUUCUUGGAUCUAUUGAAGACUAACUACUGCGAAAGCAUUUGCCAAGGAUGUUUUCAUUGAUAAGGAACGAAAGUUAGGGGAUCGAAGACGAUCAGAUACCGUCGUAGUCUUAACUAUAAACUAUGCCGACUAGGGAUCGGACGAUGUUAUUUCUUGACGCGUUCGGCACCUUUCGAGAAAUCAAAGUGCUUGGGCUCCAGGGGGAGUAUGGUCGCAAGGCUGAAACUUAAAGAAAUUGACGGAAGGGCACCACCAGGGGUGGAACCUGCGGCUUAAUUUGACUCAACACGGGGAAACUCACCAGGUCCAGACACAGUGAGGAUUGACAGAUUGAGAGCUCUUUCUUGAUUCUGUGGGUGGUGGUGCAUGGCCGUUCUUAGUUGGUGGAGUGAUUUGUCUGCUUAAUUGCGAUAACGAACGAGACCUUAACCUGCUAAAUAGCCCGUACUGCUUUGGCAGUUCGCCGGCUUCUUAGAGGGACUAUCGGCUCAAGCCGAUGGAAGUUUGAGGCAAUAACAGGUCUGUGAUGCCCUUAGAUGUCCUGGGCCGCACGCGCGUUACACUGACAGAGCCAGCGAGUACCUCCUUGGCCGGAA